GACGAACGCUGGCGGCGUGCUUAACACAUGCAAGUCGAACGGAAAGGCCCCUUUGGGGGUACUCGAGUGGCGAACGGGUGAGUAACACGUGAGUAACCUGCCCUUGACUUCGGGAUAACUUCAGGAAACUGGGGCUAAUACCGGAUAGGAAUCCUUGCUGCAUGGUGGGGGUUGGAAAGCUUCGGCGGUUUUGGAUGGACUCGCGGCUUAUCAGCUUGUUGGUGGGGUAGUGGCUUACCAAGGCUUUGACGGGUAGCCGGCCUGAGAGGGCGACCGGCCACAGUGGGACUGAGAUACGGCCCAGACUCCGACGGGAGGCAGCAGCGGGGAAUAUUGCACAAGGGGCGGAAGCCUGAUGCAGCAACGCCGCGGGCGGGAUGACGGCCUUCGGGUUGUAAACCGCUUUCAGCAGGGGCGAAGCUUGUGGUGACGGUACCUGCAGAAGAAGCACCGGCUAACUACGUG
rnacentral:rRNA from 1 species